CGUUUUACCAUCUAACAUAAGAAAAAUAUUCAUUUGAUUGAUUCGAUCCCAUUCGCGCCUGGUGGUUUCCGGCAAGCUUUAACAGUGUCUGUCUUCACAGUUGACACCUCUCAAAUCUGAAGAGAUUAAAGCACCAAAAUGAAGCUCCCCUAGCUUCGUUAGAUUCUUACGCAAAUUUACUCCUGUUUAAGAUUUGGGCUACUUCAAGGCUUCUCUGGUUGAUGGUAAAUAAUGGCAAGAGUUAGAGAUAGAACUGAGGAUUUUAAAGAUGCUGUGCGGCAUACUGCUGUUUCUUUAGGUUAUGAUGAGUCCAAAUUGGCAACCAUAAUGGCAUCCUUCAUAAUUCAUAAACCUCGACAAAGAUCAUCUUUUACAAAGGCUGCUCUGAAGACUCUUGAAAGCAUUGGAGCUUUGGAAACUUUUAUGUCAAAGCAUCGAAAAGAUUAUGUGGAUCUGCACCGUACAACUGAACAUGAAAGAGACAGCAUCGAACAUGAAGUUACUGCCUUCAUUAAAGCCUGCAAAGAACAAAUUGAUAUUCUAAAAAAUAACAUAAAUGAUGAUGAAGCAAACUCGAAGGGCUGGCUUGGCCUUAGAGGUGACAACUCCAAUGCUGACACUAUUGCUCACAAACAUGGAGUGGUUCUUAUUUUAAGUGAGAAACUCCAUUCAGUCACUGCACAGUUCGAUCAGCUUAGAGCCAUCCGUUUCCAAGAUGCUAUCAAUAAAGCAACACCAAGAAGAAAACUUAAGCAUGUUCCGAAUUCAAAUGCUGCAGAUACCUCAAAAUCGAACAUUUCAGAGAUCAGGGAGCUUGAUGGUCCUCAACCUGAAUCUCUUAAUGUUCAGCAACAGCUGUUGGAUGAUGAAACACGUGCCCUUCAGGUCGAGUUGAGCAGUCUCCUUGAUGCUGUUCAACAAACAGAAACUAAGAUGGUUGAAAUGUCUGCACUGAAUCACCUCAUGUCAACACAUGUUCUGCAGCAAGCCCAACAAAUAGAGCUUCUUUAUGACCAGGCUGUUGAAGCUACAAAGAAUGUAGAGCUUGGUAACAAAGAACUCUCUCAAGCUGUCCAGCGUAAUAGCAGCAGCAGGACAUUUCUUUUGCUUUUCCUCUGUGUACUUACUUUUUCAAUCCUCUUCCUGGAUUGGUAUAGUUAAAUUAACCUAUUUUAGUCACUUAAAAAUGGUCCUGUGUAGUUUUGAAAGAUUAUAGAGAAAGAAAAGAGAGAGAGAGAGAGAGAGAGAGAGAGAAGUGAGUUUUGAUAAUAUCUGUAACCCUGUUUUCUUCAAGUGCUCCUUUUGGUGAUUACUCAGUGCUGCUGACAGUUACGAAAAAGCUUCUGCUUCAGUUAGAUUGUAACUAAGGUCUGUAUAAGCAAGCAUGUCCUUUUCAUAUCUGCAAGGAUUACACUUCCCCGUUAGCCGGAGAAAGCAAGACCAUUGUUAACAAGACGCGUACUAGUAUGAAUGAAGUGGCUAAUCCUGUGUUCCUUGAAUGGUGGAGCUAUCUCUCCUAUAUAAUAACUAGCCAGAAAAAUGUCAAUCCAUUGAAUUCAGAUUCGGAACGGAUUACCGUGCGUGUGGUUUAAUUUGUAGGGGGGAAUUUUAAAUUAUAUAUGUAAUGUGCAUUCUUUAGACCAUGAAACUGGAGCUUUCUGAA